UAGAUCAGUUGAAAGAGUUUCUGUUGCAAUUUGUGUGGGGUCAUGUUGCACAAUGCCUGUACUACUAGUUACUAUUUUAAUAAUAUGUCCUUUGG